GCUUGGUGGCAGCGCGUCUCCGGGCCCUUCGUCCGGGGAGGGCGUCCGGCGUCUUUUUAGUUAAACUGCUUCUAUCAGCUCAGCGUCUGCGGAGCAAGUCUGAGACACAGAUUAGCCGAUUUCCGACCCUGAGCGGAAGGUCAGCCGGUUUAUCCAACAUUCUGUUAGGCCCCAGCUCUGGAUAUUGAGGAAUAGUAUAUGAUCAAUGGAUUUUGUGAUCAUGGACCUACUUCUAAUCCUGGCAAGAAGAAAUAUCUUACCACAAAAUACCAAGUGACCAUAUAUCAGGAUUUGCCAAUCAUGAGUUCCAUCAGACCUGACAACACAUAUGACCAGAGUCUAAGCACAUGCUCCAUCCAGUCCACUGCCCUCAGCUCUUAUACACACCAUAAAUGCUGAUAACACUGAUCACUUGCAUCGGAUGCCACUGUGGACAUUCAAUCUUCUAGCCAGUGUCCUUCUGCUCCCAAUUCUACACUCCAACCCAAAGUUCCACUAUCUUAACAAAGCACACUUGAUUAGAUACGAGCUCCCAACUCUGCUUUUCUCUAGUUCCAAACUCAGAUGGUCCCUAUUAACACUAUUAUGGUUGCAAUGAAUCCUUCAAAUGCUUUCAGAUGAGAAAACUGAAUCUCUAGGAAGCAAGUCCUAUGAUGCUGGGGAAGAUGAGCCAGAGUGAUCUGUGAGAGAUACCCGAGUUGGCCAAGUGGAGACGCAUCUUCUCAAGACUGAAAGUCUCUGUCUCCUGAAGCAGCUGUGUUCACGCUGAAGAGAGGCUCGGAGCUUGAGACAGACGAUGACAUGUGUUGCCUCCAGUGAGGAGCCUUUACCAAAAGGCUUAAAGGAGAGAGUCAGAGCUAUACUUCGCUACCUUGCCUGUGCUUGCUAUGGAGGCCUUAUCUCUGGAUGCUGGACACUGGGAGAAGGCUUAAUGGUUCUGAGGGGUCUGUCUCCUACCAAGAACCGGGAUCACCUUAGUCCACAUGGGGCUUUACAGCUAUUUAGACUCAGCACAAGACUUGCAUUCAGCAGAGUGACCAGGAUGUGAUGGGAUCCUAAAUCAUGCUUAAAGGAGAAAAGACUCGGGGAAAAAACCACCAUCUUUAAUUAAAAGGCUGCCAUGUGGAAGAGGUUUAGAGUCGUUUUGUUCAGCCCGAGGCAGUGACAGCUAACUAAGACUUGUGAAGAGAAAGAAGUGAACGGAAGACAGCAUGUCCUUUCAUCUUGGGAGAGUUCUAAGUUUUAAGUUUAAGAUCACUAGUGAAUAGAUGGUCUCUUUACGAUGGUGAUUAAAUUAUAUUUUGUGGCCCACUGCUGGUCAAAAAAAGUCUUCUUGAUGAGUCAAAACCGGAUCCAAAAUUCAACUCCCUUCUUUAAAUGGCAUCUACUCAGAAGGCACGAUUCCCUUGGAUUUUGGUUUUGUUAGCCAUUGAAGGUAUCUGAAUGAAGACUUAUAAAAUGUUGUUCAUAAAUGAAAAUAUGUGCACUUACCAGCUUACAGAGGAGGAGUAAUUUAACAAAUGGUGUUUAGCAAUUGCCAGCAUGGCAAAACUAUUUUUGUAUAUUUACAGAUAGAGAUUAGGAACUCUCAGAAAAGUUCCAGAUGCAUUGCUUCAUAAUUAAUUGCUGCCUUUCUUUUUAAACUAUGAUAAUUUGAUAAUAUUUAUGAUGCAUUUAUAACAAUGUUUGAAUUAAAAAUUAUUAGUUUAGCAUCAUUAUUUAGUUAAUUGUGUGAAUUGUUUCAUUAACACUAUGGAUAUAGUAGGAUAUAUUUGCUUCAGGAGCAUUUUGCACCUAUAAUUUACCAUUAGCUAGACUUUAAAACUAUAUUUAGCUCAAAAUGAGUUAUUCUUACCUCUGUUGACAUACCUAUAUGUAUAUAAACCCAAACCUCCUCUCUUCCACUUUCAAAUUGCUUUGCUUAUUCAAUGGCUUCAUUUUUAUUAUCACCAAGUAUUACCCUAUUUCCAAAAGAAGAAGACAGGCCCUGGGAUCCAAGUAUGUUUCUGACAAAAAUGUCUACGUGAUAUUUUUCUGCAGUGAGGAUUCAAAAACCAGAUGGAUGAUUCAAUGAAAUGGCAUUUCUGUUUUCUUCUGAUUUUUCUGUUUUUUUUUUUUAAACAUAUAAUGUUUUAUUCAUUACGGGUACACUAUAUAGUGAUUCAACAAUUCAUACACACCUGGUAAUUUACUAUCUCAACAACUUUCCUAUGUAUCUUACAGUGUUAGUUAUUGUUAUCAUGUUGCACAUUACAUCCCUACUACUUAUUUGUCUUAUAACCAGAAGUUUGUUUAUAAAUUCUUCCAAUUUCCCCCUGGCAAGCACACAUCUGGUCUCUUUUUCUAAGUCUUGGUUUUUUUUUUCCUCAGAUUCCACAUAGAAGUGAGAUCAUAUGGUGUUUAUCUUUCUCUAUCUGACUUAUUUCACUUAGCAUAAUGCCUUCAGGGUCCAUCCAUGUUGUUGCA